rnacentral:rRNA from 1 species
CACAUCCAAGGAAGGCAGCAGGCGCGCAAAUUACCCACUCCCGGCACGGGGAGGUAGUGACGAAAAAUAACGAUACGGGACUCAUCCGAGGCCCCGUAAUCGGAAUGAGUACACUCUAAACCCUUUAACGAGGAUCAAUUGGAGGGCAAGUCUGGUGCCAGCAGCCGCGGUAAUUCCAGCUCCAAUAGCGUAUAUUAAAGUUGUUGCGGUUAAAAAGCUCGUAGUCGAAUCUGUGUCCCGCGUCGCCGGUUCAUCGCUCGCGGUGUUCAACUGGCGUGUCGCGGGACGUCCUGCCGGUGGGCUAAGCUCGUCCGCGGGCGGCGCCCAACUUGAAAUCCCACCGCGGUGCUCUUGACUGAGUGUCGAGGUGGGCCGGCACGUUUACUUUGAACAAAUUAGAGUGCUUAAAGCAGGCUAAAAUUUCGCCUGAAUACUGUGUGCAUGGAAUAAUGGAAUAGGACCUCGGUUCUAUUUUGUUGGUUUUCGGAACCCCGAGGUAAUGAUUAAUAGGAACGGAUGGGGGCAUUCGUAUUGCGACGUUAGAGGUGAAAUUCUUGGAUCGUCGCAAGACGGACAGAAGCGAAAGCAUUUGCCAAAAACGCUUUCAUUGAUCAAGAACGAAAGUUAGAGGUUCGAAGGCGAUCAGAUACCGCCCUAGUUCUAACCAUAAACGAUGCCAGCUAGCGAUCCGCCGACGUUCCUCCGAUGACUCGGCGGGCAGCUUCCGGGAAACCAAAGCUUUUGGGUUCCGGGGGAAGUAUG